rnacentral:rRNA from 4 species
AAACUUUCAACAACGGAUCUCUUGGUUCCGGCAUCGAUGAAGAACGCAGCGAAAUGCGAUAAUUAAUGUGAAUUGCAGAAUUCCGUGAAUCAUCGAGUUUUUGAACGCACAUUGCGCCCCCUGGCAUU